AUGCCUCAAUGAAAAAAGACCAGCGAAAAAAGACCUACGAAAGAAAAAACAACGACAAAAAAUCAGGCGACUCGCACGCACGAGCGAGGCCUAUCCCGUCGCCACCGCCCGACGCCGCCAGCCCCGUCCUCCUCCCUGGCUCCCGGCGCCGCCCGCCCCCCAUCUCCUCCUGCGAUCCUGGCGUCGCCCCGCCCCACCUUCUCCCUCACUUCCGGCGCUACCUAUCGAUCCCCUCGACGACACAGAGCCGCCGUCCUCUCGUGCGAUCUCGCAGCCGCAUCCGCCAACGCCGAUCCGGGCAGACGCGGCCGUCGUGGAUCACGAGGAUCCGGAUGAUGGGGGCGUGGAGAUGGCCAUGGAUCUGUUACGGCGACGACGGCGCCGGAUCCGCACCCGCAACAUCCGGAUGGAGGCCGGCGACGAACCCUAGCCUAGCCGUCAGCAUCGGGAUCCAACCCCUUCUCUCGGUGUUGGGGCAAGGCGUAUGGGGGUGCUUGUUGCGGCGGUGGACCUCGACCCGGCGACAUCUGCAGCAUCUCCCUCCCGUCGGGCUGCAGGACCUGUACGCCCAAGAGAUGUGAUGUAUGCACCUCAUGGUACACAUAGGGUUUUGAUUUGCUUUCCUUGACUGCAGAAGAUGUUAUUAUGAUGAGCCAGGUCAUGGUACACAGGCUAACUAAACAAGCUUCUGUUGUUUUAUUGUUGGUCGUUCCCGUCCACUGCUGCCAACAGUCAAUUUUCUGCAGGGUUUUUAUUUCUUUCUCUUCCAUCGAAAGCUCCUUUUUGCCACUGAUUAAUUAGUUGAUGCAUGUGGAGAUUUUCGAUACUAGGAGAACCAAGUUUAAACAUGUGCAAUUCCAUCUAUCUAGCAUCAAUGUCGGGUGAGGUUAGACUACAAGAAAGACUAGAUAUUAAGCUUGUUCAUUCUAUCUACACCUUUUGAAUCUGAAGUCACUACUGUUGUAAAUAAUGCUACUUGAGUACCUGGUUGAUUGGUUUUGUUUAUUGUGGCAUUGAGUAGCCUACUACAUUAGUGGUGUCAGCUAUAUUUUGUAAGUUUGUUAUCGAUUCAAUUUAGUUAUUUGUGUGUGUGAUUGAAAAAUAAUGGUUUACAUAUGAAUUGCUACAGUUUUAUAUAAUACUCUUUGAUCUGUGCUGCUAGGUCUGCUACUGCGUGCAUGACAACAUGAGGUGUCGCAAUCGGUGCGGUAUGCUGGUGAUAGAUGUUCUCGAUUGUGAUGCCCAAGCCUGUCUGCCGCAAUUGUGUGUUCGUUACUGCUGAGAUAAGCGUAUCCAGAUCUUUUGACCCUUCCACGAAAAGGUGUAACAUGGUAAAUUUGUCGCAACAAGCAGCAUGGCAUUCUUGAUAGCUUUUCUCCCUAUUAUGACUUGCAUCUUUCUACCCUGCCCCAAAUUAAAUUUGAUUGGGACUAUUUGAUUGAAUGUCAAAUAAAGAUCAACUUUAUCUCUGAUCGAUUCAUGGAAAUGGAAGCUGAAUAAUAUUCUGAUUAUUACUUGCAUGCUAUAUUCACUGUUUUUGGUUUAACAACUUGCAAGUGUUUCUUUUAAUCCGCAGAAAAAGGACUCACGGGUGGACAUCUGCUAUAAAUUACCUAGGCCUGGUCAUCUGCGUGAGUUGCAUCUGUCAUUUUUCUUCCCAGGUAGAACAUUAGUUUUAAUUAAAAACAAGGUAGAACAUUAGUGUUCUCCACAGUUUGAUGGGAACACUUUGACUUUCUGUAACCCCUAGAUUUGGUAUUUCCUGAUGAUUGCUUGCGGUUCUUCUUACUUUCUGGUAUAAAUAGAGAAAAAUGAGGAUAUUGUAAUUAUUUUAGAAUGUUCAAGAUUUAGGUGUCCAUACUGUGCUAACUAUGGUCUGAAUUGUUUUGGGGAAUCAUGAUGUCAUGUCGUGAUUACACAAUUCCAAGCUGUGGUUCAGAAGCACACUUCGCUAAAAUACAUGCAAUCGUUUUUUUGGGUUUUCUUCUCACAAUAUAUAUACGUAAAUCAUGUAAUUUGCAACCUUGGUAAGUGCACCUCGAGCUGGCUGAAACAUGCCUGUUCCAAUCAUGAACGGACAUGAAGGCAGCCGGUGGGAUUUACUAUUGCGUCUCGACCUACUCGGAGCAGGAGAGGCCAGGCUAUGGCAGCCGCGGUCGUGGCGUCGUGCACGUGGCAUCGACGCAGGUGAGAAUACAUCUAUGGUAGUCUCGUGGGCCGAGCGUCAAGGUGAUGGUAGCCGACCCUCCACGCCCCCUCUAGGGAUGGGAAGUGGCGGGCAGAGUACCUCCCCCGCGCAUGUCAGGUUGCUGAUCCACCCCUAAUUCCAUUAUACACUGCUACAUCUUAUCUGUCAUCUACUCACAACAUUGCAAGAUGUGGCAUGUCCUAAGACGAUGAGAUUACAAAGAUUGAGGUGAUAGAAUCUAGCUGUGUCAUGGGCAAGCUGGUUGGCACCAUUGUGACAUGACAUCAGUCAUGUGCGUUAAAAUCACGAACGACGGCGCUUGCUUUCAUAACCUAAUAUACUUCUCCCACAUGGAAAUUAUAUAAGUAUGGUUGUUUAUAACUGUAUGCACUGGACAUGUGUUCUCUCUCAGUAAUGUGCAUGUUUGCUCCAUUACUCAUUUACCCAUUCUGGUAAUUUUUUCUCUGUGUUUUUAGUCCACAAACCAAUGUUUAGUCUCUGGAAGAAAGUCAAGGUAUUAUGACGUGUGUGUGCGUCUAUAUAUAAACAAAGAGAUAUAUAUGUCUCAUAUCCUAUAGAUUUUGGUCUGCCUUUUUCUUUCCUUACGGAGAUGCACCUGAUUAGUUUGUUUCACCUGUUUGAUAAAUAGUAUUUUUCACAAUAUAAUUUUAUUUCACGGUGUCUACUCAACGAAUUGCUUGUGAGUGUGUGUUUUCACAAAUGGUGCAGAAUAAACUCCCAACUAAAUCGUUGGAUAUGUAUAUAAUUUGCAGAGUUGCAAACACUUUCAAUUUCAACUGUGUGGUGAUCAGGACAUUCUGUGUUGCUUGGACAACCGAGCUAAGACAGCGAUGCCACCACCUACUUGUAUCUGUACAGGAACUCCGGUGAUUAUUUCUGUGAGUGCCUAAAUAUAUAUCCUCUGCUCUCCAAAUGGUAGUGUUUGAGGUUUUCAUUUCUCCCCCUUCCAGUUCUGCUGAGCACCUUCAAUUCCCCUUUCCCCAGCUCGAAGGAAUUGGCGCCUCCGUUAGUGACCCCGAGUAGUGAUGCAAUGAUUUUCCAAAAAUGAAGAAGCUUGUCGUUCAACCGAUGACAAAACACCUAGAGUACGUGCAAAAAUUACUACUUCCUCAUUUACAGCAAACUCAUUGAUACGACAAAGGCAAAAUUUUGGGUGGCAAGGUAUAUGAUUAGAUCAUGUGUAAUCUUCUAGAUGCAUUUUUCUAUUCUUCCAUUGUGUUCUUUAGACAUGCCUCUUUUUGUUAUUUUACAUCAGUUAACUGAAGUUCAUAUUAUUCCUUUAUCUGAUUGUAGCUUCAAAGUUUGAUUACAGCAGAGUCAUUGAUACAACAUACACAGUUUGUGAAUUUACCUACUACUACGAGUUACGUCAUAUAGCAAUGUUUUCUUGCCUAGAAAAAUAUUACAUGAAAGGCCUAAUGUCUUGUGAAUGUGUAUAGUAGCUACGAGUAGGUGGUCAAACUGUACACCUUUAAAGCAUGAAUAAGGUGCUAGCUUAUGUGCUGCAGUUGCUUUGCAUUGUUCAGAUGCAAUGUGUUUUCGCUCAGCGGGAGCACUUCUUCUGAUUAUUUAUAAUUUUUAGUUUGCUUCUUAUAAUUUUAAGACAAUUUUUGCGACUUGGAAUGUAUAGCAUCCCCCUUUUCUCACUGGAAAUGACAUGUAAGAACAAACCAGUUCUAGUUCUGGCAUAGUUCUGAUGGUUGAAGUGUAUGUCUAUAUGAUUUAGUAUAUGCAUGGGAGUACCCGCUAAACGAUGAAGCAUAUUGUGUCGUGUUAGCUCCAUCUAGCUUUAUUAUCUUGAAUUCUGUAUCUAGAUUUUGUAUGUUGUAUUCCCUUUCACCGCGUCUACAUACUUGAUGAAGCUUUUUUCUGAUUGCAAAGUAUGUGCAAGUCAGUAGUGAACACUCUAUAUCGUUGUUCCAGAAAAGCAAGAUUCAGCAAUUUCCGCAACAUUUCAUGUCCGUUCCAUGUAGUAGUUUUUGCGGAAUUAUAUUGAUGAUUUCCUUUUACCUUCAUAUUUGCUUAGUUUUCUUAGCAAACACAAAAUGCUUUGCGUCUUGAAGCAUUGAUAGAAGCGAACAUAAUUCAUGAUACAAGCCUAAUACUCUGAAAAUAUUUUUACGGUUCACUAUUCCUAUGAGGGGAGUGAGUGGAGACAGCCAUGAGUGGCUCAACAUGUCGAGCAGCGGCCGCCUAUGAGGGGAGUGAGUGGAGACGUGCAAAUAUGUGUGGUGGAGGGGCAACGGAAGCUUGAACGGAAGAUUCGUCGCCAACAUCAAAGAAAUCUAUGGCCUGAUCGACCCUAAAGCUCCUGCAUGGACAUGAAGGUGACCGGGGGCAGAUUGCCGACAUUUGCCACACUAUGGGCAAUCUAUGUGAUGAUCUGCUCUCCGCAAUUGAAGCCAGGAAUGAGCGACAAGAUCUCUUCGGGAAUGGCUGAUGAGGAAGAAUUAACUGCGGGGGAAUGGUGGAUCUAGGUGGAGUUCGCUUUAGCCAGUGAGGGACGAGCUUUAGUUGUGUAGGGGAAGGGAAGCCACAUGCAUGAGUCAGACAUAAUAAAUCGGCUCGAAAAUGACUCUGUUACUCCAGAAUCUCGUCUUGGACGACCCAUAUGGUGGUCUGACAUUCGAUCCGGUGUGAAAGUGCCUCACAUAGUCAUGUUUCAUGGACUUCAGAUGUGGGCCAUAUUCACUGUUCAAAAGAAGCAUACAUAGAUUAUUAGUGGCCUAUGUGUGUUGGGCUGUAAAUCCCGGGGCAACUUGAUGGGAGGGAUAACGAGCACACAUGUGCUCCAACACAUAAUAGAGUGCAUAUAACAUGGCUUUCUCACGACUUUAUGCCACUAAUAAGAAGU